AGUUGGAGCUGUGACACAUUUUUGACCAAAGAGAUCUAUCUGGAAGUCGACUGGGAUUUCCUGGAAAGCAGCUUCUUCUCAAUCCUCCUAACUGGUGAGUGGGACAUCAACAGCUGUCUUAUACCUAAAAUAAUAAAGCAAUUGAAGAGGGAAAAAAAUCAGCCGAAGGUGUAUACCCCCUCCACGCUGGGUGACUGUGGUAUAUUUCAUCUUCGCAUUCUAAAUCAAUGCUAAGCAAAGCACAGAAAUGUUUACCUUUGUCUGAUCUCUAAUUCCCUAAAUUUAUGUGGAAUCAUGCACAGAUGCGCUGGAAACCAGCCUGGAAAAGCCUGGCAUUUUAAUUGAUCCCAGAGCUUCUUGCCUCACGGCUCC
rnacentral:lncRNA from 1 species